rnacentral:rRNA from 1 species
GACGAACGCUGGCGGCGUGCUUAACACAUGCAAGUCGAACGGAAAGGCCCUGCUUUUGUGGGGUGCUCGAGUGGCGAACGGGUGAGUAACACGUGAGUAACCUGCCCUUGACUUUGGGAUAACUUCAGGAAACUGGGGCUAAUACCGGAUAGGAGCUCCUGCUGCAUGGUGGGGGUUGGAAAGUUUCGGCGGUUGGGGAUGGACUCGCGGCUUAUCAGCUUGUUGGUGGGGUAGUGGCUUACCAAGGCUUUGACGGGUAGCCGGCCUGAGAGGGUGACCGGGCACAUUGGGACUGAGAUACGGCCCAGACUCCUACGGGAGGCAGCAGGUGGGAAUAUUGCCCAAUGGGGGGAAGCCUGAUGGAGCAACGCCGGGUGCGGGAUGACGGCCUUCGGGUUGUAAACCGCUUUCGCCUGUGACGAAGCGUGAGUGACGGUAAUGGGUAAAGAAGCAACGGCUAACUACGUG